CAUUAGUAGAAUAUUAGUAAUAUAUAAGAUCUAUUACAUUUGUUUUUCUUUAUUUCCGCCUCUGUGACAGUGACAAGGACUCCUCUGUCACUCCUGAACUGUAAUGUCAGUUUUACCAUUAAUUUUUAUACAGUUCCUUAAUGUAUUUUGUACAAAAGCUCCAGAUUGUCAUCAGCAGCCUAAGGUUAGCAAAGUUGCUAAAAUUCGCACAGCAGGAACCGGAACUGUCUUGUUUAAUCCAACUGAUAUUGACAAGCAAUGUUGGUCUCAAGAUGAGUUAGCCAUUUUAACAGCAAGAAUGGUGUUGGAGGAUGUAGUACCCGAUCCGAGGACCCUGUCGCUAAAAUGCAAUAAUGAUGUGGAGGAUUUAAUUGAAUAUUUUAAAACUGUUAUAGAAACAGUAAGAAGUUUGAGUACCGGACGGAAAAAGCACAUCAUGCUACUCGCGGUGACUGAUUUGCUAGGCGGGUACAUGCAUCACGCAGUUCUGCCGUUAGCGAAGCGCGGGUUCUACGCUGGUAUUAUAGAUUACGUAUUUAUAGAAAAGCUUAUACAGUUCUAUGAGGAAGUGAAGUGGUUUCUGAAGACCAAUGGACAAGGUUGGAGCAAAGCUGUGACUCCCAAAAAACCAGUCGAUGUCCCGGUAAUACAGUUCGACGUAGAACUCCCUAAAAAGCUGGGCAACGAUAGCUACUGCUCCAAGCUACUAUAUUAUGAGUAUGAGCCCCUGAAAUCGUCGGCCAAACGCUCGGUGUCGGGAGAAAAAGGGAUCUAUUUCCCUCUACCAUUCUUCGACGCAAAAUACCGACCUACGGCCAUAGUUGUUCCAUUUAAGAGGUUCGCUUUGAGAAACAUUGAGUCGAAACGAUCCGCUUACUUGCUUAUGAAGUAUUACCUCGUCGCGUCCAAGUGCUUGGCGGAAAAGAAUGCCAAACCGAGUAUGGUGGAAAAGUUUCAGAACAAUUUGUACGCUUGGAUAGAUACGGAAGCUCUGCCGAAAUUAAGGGACGAUAAGUUUUAUUCCGCGUUUGGCGGUCUGCUUCGUGUAGAGGCGACUUUGAAAGCGAUGGGCGCGAAAGUGGGGGAAAUAAAAUCUUGCGACGUCGACAAGGGUGAGGAGGAGGUGGGCGCUGUACCGACCGUAGGUGAGAGUAGCAAGAGGACUACGAUGGUCCUGGCCGCCAUUCUUAUUGUUAUCAUGGCUUGGUUUAUUAUUGGAUCGUGCUUUGUUUGUCUUCGGAUGAAGGGUAACGGUAGAAAAAAACCAGAUAAAGAAGAAAAGGCAAAACGGUCUGACAGCGCGAGUACAUUGUCAUCGUCCAGGUGGUCGUCCAUAUGGAGCAAGACUUCAGCGAAAAGCAAAUCGACCGAAGCGACUUGCAAAUGUUGCGCCUCCGUAAGCGAGAAGUCGACCGUUGGCUAUACGUCCUCAAGCGAGUUUGACAACGGCAAAACGAAGAAAAAAGGCAAGUACAAAUCGUCGUCGCGGCCGCCGAAACGGGACAAACGAACGUCCCAAAGUUCUCCCUGCGUGUGUCCCCCAGACGACGGCCCCGCAAUAAUCGAAACCCGGCACUCAAUGAAGGUGCUCCCGUCGAUAGCCGAAAUGUCGGAACACUCUACGUUGGACAAAAAGAGAGGCGGUUUCAGGAAGAUAACGUUCGCGCGACGCGACUCCGAGGAUGCGACGACUACCGACGACGAGAGAGUAAAGAAUAAAAGGUGCGCGGCCCCGUGGGAUCAAACCGAGCGUACGGUGCAGUGCCCCAACAGAACGCUAGACAAGUCGACGACAGCGUCGAGUUCGGGUCCCCCGUUAAAACAGGCCAACUACGACUCCGUGGGUCGUCGUAACGACUUGGAACCCAGUAGCGGGACAAGGAAAACGAGUGACAACGCGGCUAAAGAAAACGACACGACUACAAGCGACUCGCGCUCGCACAUUAACGAACGCAUUGAGGCAGAGAAUGCGAGCAAGCGAGACGACGAACGAGUCAGUGGAACGCGGGACGCUGUUUAUCAAGAUUUUCACAUGAUGGCGUGCCAUUCGAGCAUGAGCGGCAACUACGCCCGUUAUCGGGAAACUGACGAAAACACCCCUCGCAUAUUUGGUUACGAUUUCGGGUCAUCGACGUCAUCCGGUAGUGUUUAAAACUCGAUUACUUUGACAUGCGACUGGCCGAACCACAGAAUAAAUAUCGACAGAAGCGAUAAAUAGACUUAUUUCGAUAUGAGCGACGACGAGAUCGACUUGAAAACGUCAACAUCGAAAUCGUAAAAAACACCCGUCGUUUUCCUUUUGUGUUUUCUUUUUACGAGUGAUACGCA